CGUUGUCAAUCUCUAACUAGGGGUUAAAUUGAAGUUCACAUGAAUACGGAUUUAAAGAGGUCGACUCAUUCACUUGCAAGUGAAUAACUAAUUAUCUAUGUUUCUUAGCGUAAUUUGACAAAAUUGAACCUUUUUGGCUGCAAAAAGCGAAUUGUUAUUUCACUAUUUCACUUUCAUUAUUGAUUGAACAAAAAAAAAAUCAAACUUUAGAUUUUUUAUAUAUCUCGUAGCUAGUGCCCC
rnacentral:lncRNA from 1 species